rnacentral:rRNA from 1 species
GCCUGCCCGGUGCCGGAAGGUUAAUUGAUGGGGUGCAAGCUCUUGAUCGAAGCCCCGGUAAACGGCGGCCGUAACGAUAACGGUCCUAAGGUAGCGAAAUUCCUUGUCGGGUAAGUUCCGACCUGCACGAAUGGCGUAACGACAGCGGCGCUGUCUCCACCCAAGGCUCAGUGAAAUUGAAAUCGCUGUGAAGAUGCAGCGUUCCCGCGGCAAGACGGAAAGACCCCGUGAACCUUUACUAUAGCUUCACACUGAACGUUGAGUUCGUCUGUGUAGGAUAGGUGGGAGCCUACGAAGCGUUGGCGCUAGCUGAUGUGGAGGCAACCUUGAAAUACCACCCUGAUGUGCUUGACGUUCUAACCUGGGUCCGUAAUCCGGAUCGGGGACAGUGUGUGGUGGGUAGUUUGACUGGGAG